CCACUUCAUCUGCCAUUCAAAGUUGCCAAACACCCUAUCCAGUCUACUACAUACUCUAUCAUUACCACUUUGUUGAUUAGACCAGGUAAAGAAAUUUCCUUUCCAUGGAAGUUCAACCAGGCCUGAUUGCUGAAUGCAGUUAUUGAAAUCAACUAGUUCCCUUUCCUUAACUUGUUGGCAGGAUUGUCUAUCCUUGCUAGACAGUAUGGCAUUAAAAUCUCUUGCAAUGAUCCAUGGAUCUGUAAUACCAGCAGAUAAGUUUAGAAUAGAAUUACACAGCAUCCUCCUCUGAUCACAGUCAUUAAAACCAUAUACUACUGUAAGGCAGCAGAUAGUAUCACCAGUGAUAGUUUGAACCUUACAAUGGAUGAGCUGAGCUUCCUCAAGAAAUCUAGUGACCAACACCUUUGUAGGGUCCCAUAGGAUCCAUAUUCUACCAUUCACUGCUCCACUGUAN
rnacentral:lncRNA from 1 species